CUGCUCACUCUGGCAGCACAUGCACUAAAAUUGGAACAACAGAGAGAAGAUUAGCAUAACCCCUGCACAAGGAUGACACAAAUUUGUGAAGUAUUCCAUAUUUUU